rnacentral:rRNA from 1 species
UAGAAGUGGGUGGAGGGGGGGGUGGUUGUAGGUGGGGUGUGGGGGUUGUCCGGAAUUAUUGGUCGUAAAGAGUGCGUAGGCUGCUUGUCGCGUUGUUCGUGAAAAUUUACCGCUCAACGGGGAACUUGCGGGGGAUUCGGGCAGGCUAGAGUACUGCAGGGGAGACGGGAAUUCCUGGUGUAGCGGUGAAAUGCGCAGAUAUCAGGAGGAACACCGGUGGCGAAGGCGGGUCUCUGGGCAGUAACUGACGCUGAGGAGCGAAAGCGUGGGGAGCGAACAGGAUUAGAUACCCUGGUAGUC